ensembl:lncRNA
CUUAGCAUGCACCCACAUGCACACCAGCUAAUGGAGGGGACUUAGGAUGAGGGGUUUUACUGCUUCGUAGAAAGACUUUGAAACAGUGAUGCUCUGGUUGAGGCUUACCUUCCCUCCAGCCUUCACAAGCACUUCAUGUCUCUUGUUUGGAGAACGUGUACCUUGACAUUACUGCACAUUGAGGGGCAUUUAUUAGAACAUUGGUUUUCAGAGUGUAGUCUUGGGGUCUGAAGGUCAAAAGAAUUUAUAAUGAUACUCAGAUAAAAUUUGCCUUUUUCUCUCUUAUGCCCCUUUGAGCAUAUGGGGGAACUUUCCAGAGGCAAGAUGAUGUGUGAUACCACAACAGAUUAAAUGCAGAAGCAGGUGACAAGAGUGACUUAAUUGAAGAGUUUGGGAGAAGAACUGGGGAGACUUCUAAAGCCCAAGUCAGCAAUUAUUUUAAGAAGAGGUCAAACAAGCAGGCUGAAGUUACAAAAGAUUAUUGCUGUUUUGGUUAAAGCUACUAGGGGCUGUUAUCAGCUAAGUGGCAGGUUGGACGC